rnacentral:rRNA from 1 species
AUUGAACGCUGGCGGCGGGCCUAACACAUGCAAGUCGAGCGAGCGGCGGACGGGUGAGUAAUGUCUGGGAAACUGCCUGAUGGAGGGGGAUAACUCCUGGAAACGGUAGCUAAUACCGCAUACCAUCAGAUGUGCCCAGAUGGGAUAAGCUCGUAGGUGGGGUAAUGGCUCACCUGGGCGACGAGCCCUAGCUGGUCUGAGUGGAUGACCAGCCACACCGGAACUAAGACACGGUCCAGACUCUUCCGGGAGGCAGCAGUGGGGUAUAUUGCACAAUGGGCGCAAGCCUGAUGCAGCCAUGCCGCGUGGGUGAAGAAGGCCUUCGGGUUGUAAAGCACUUUCAGCGUGGAGGCGUUACCCGCAGAAGAAGCACCGGCUAACUCCGUGCCAGCAGCCGCGGUAAUUC